ensembl:lncRNA
GGUAGUUGGCGAAUAAGGGGGGAUGGGGAGGGGGAUAUGGGGACAAAGGGGAGAUGGGGGGUCAAUGGGGGGGGACAAUGGGGGGGAUAGUUGGGGGGGGAAGGGGGAAAUGGGGGGUCAAUGGGGGGGAUGGGGAUAAGGGGGGACAAAAGGGGUAGGUGGGGGAGAAAGGGGGGAGACGAGGGGGGAUAUGGGGACAAAGGGGCCCAGGACAAGGGGGGGAUGGGGGACAGAAGGGUGGUGGGGGGACAAGGGGGGGGUGGGGACAGGAUGGGGACAUGGGAUAGGAUAUGGGGCAGGAUAUGGCGAUAGGAUGGGGAUAAGGGGAGGGGGAUAUGGGGCAGGAUGGGGAUAUGGGGCACAGAAAGGGGUAGCAGAGAAGGGCAGGAGGGGAGCCGUCAUCAGGAGCCGUCCCUGCACCGACCCACAGCCCCUGGGGGGGCACCAUGGGUGCAGGAUGGGCGGCUAGCGCCAACAGCUGUGGGUGCUGGAGGACCCAUAGCCUGCGGCUAAUGGGGUGGGGAGGGGCCUAUAUCCAGCACCCAUGGGUGCUGUGGGGCUCUUGACCCACAUCUGUGGGUGCUUGAGCGGUCUCCUAUAUGCUGCACCUAUGGGUGCUACAGCAAUCUGGUCCUGCACCCAUGGGUGCCUCACCUCAUCCUAUAGCACCCAUAGGUGCCUUACCUCGUCCAUUAGCACCCAUAGGUGGCCUUUACUCACAUCCUAUAGCACCAUAGGUGCCUUACCUUGUCCAUUAGCACCCAUAGGUGCCUUAUCUCACCCUAUAGCACCCAUAGGUGCCUUACCUCGUCCAUUAGCACCCAUAGGUGCCUCAUCUCACCCUAUAGCACCCAUAGGUGCCUUACCUCAUCCUAUAGCACCCAUAGGUGCCUUACCUCGUCCAUUAGCACCUAUAGGUGCCUCACCUCGUCCUAUAGCACCCAUAGGUGCCUUACCUCAUCCUAUAGCACCCAUAGGUGCCUUACCUCGUCCUACAGCACCCAUAGGUGCCUUAUCUCACCCUAUAGCACCCAUAGGUGCCUUAUGUCAUCCUAUAGCACCCAUAGGUGCCUUACCUCGUCCAUUAGCACCCAUAGGUGCCUUAUCUCACCCUAUAGCACCCAUAGGUCCCUUACCUCGUCCAUUAGCACCCAUGGGUGCCUCACCUCGGCCUUGAGCUCGUCGAUGUGAUCCUUCAGCUGCCGGAUGUACUGAGCGGCGUCCGAGUGGUUGAGCUGCCCUUGGAUCAUCCCCUCCUCCCUCUAUGGGGCGCAGAGGGGUCACCCCGUCACCCAUAUCCCACCCUAUAUCCCACCCUAUAUCCCACCCUAUAUCCCACCCUAUAUGUCACCCUAUAUGUCCCCCCCCCACCCCACAAACCUGGAUCUCCAGCUCGGCCACCCUCUGUCUCAUCUCAGCCAGGGCCGCCAUGCUGUCGGCCUCGCGCAGCCUCACGGCCAUCACCUCCUCUUUGCUCUAUGGGGGGGGGGGGGGGACAUUGGGGGGCACCCAUGGGUGUCAAUGCCCACCCAAUGGACAGCCCCAUAGAAGGGACCCCAAUGGGUAUGGGGACCCCAAGGGGGGGGAUAUGGGGACCCCAAGGGAGGAGAUAUGGGGACAUAAGGGACCCCAGGGGGGGGAUAUGGGACAUAAGGGACCCCAGGGUGGGGAUAUGGGGACAUAAGGGACCCAAGGGGGGAUA